CAGCAGCCGCGGUAAUACGGAGGGAGCUAGCGUUGUUCGGAAUUAUUGGGCGUAAAGGGCGCGUAGGCGGUUUGGCAAGUUUGGUGUGAAAUCUUCGGGCUCAACUCGAAGUCUGCACCGAAAACUGCCGGGCUUGAGUAUGGGAGAGGUGAGUGGAAUUUCCGGUGUAGCGGUGAAAUGCGUAGAUAUCGGAAGGAACACCUGUGGCGAAAGCGGCUCACUGGACCAUUACUGACGCUGAGGCUCGAAAGCGUGGGGAGCAAAUAGGAUUAGAUACCCCCGUAGUCCCUGUCUCUUAUAC
rnacentral:rRNA from 1 species